rnacentral:lncRNA from 1 species
GGAGCAGUUUGCUUGGUCCUGUGACAAGUGCAGUCUCUUUGGUGCUUGUGGUAACGUGAGCGAACAGACCUGUGGGUGUAUAAACGGACUUCCUGAUGGAGAGUUUUGUCAGCCGGUCACGAAUACGCCUUCAUGCCCAAGGCCGACUUUUGCAAUCUCAUCGUCCCCAACAUCUGAGGCUAAGACCACCCCUACAUCACAGCUGGCAACUAUCCCCAUUCCAGUGACAACAAAACCCACAACUUUUCUGACAGUGGUAACCCUCACAACAGAACAGACAACCACAACAACAAAUAUGGAAGUAAAGACAACAACGGCAACAACUUCAACUCAAGCAACAACUACAACUUUAACAGCAACAACUAGCAAUAAAGCAACAACUACACAUCAGGCAACAACUACCAAUAAAACAACAACUACACAUCAAGCAACAACUACACCUCUAACAGCAACUACAACUCAACCAACAACUACCAAUAAAGCAACAACUACACAUCAAGCAACAACUAUAAAUAAAGCGACAAAUACACAUCA